rnacentral:lncRNA from 1 species
UUUUUUUUUUUUUUUAUUCCUUCAAGGAAGAUCAAGGCAUUGCACGUCAAACGUGCAACGAGUUCCUGCACAGAAAACCCUGCGUAUAAAGGGUCACUCUGCAGGGGCGCCAAACUAACCAUUAUGCGGCUCAUCCUCAGGAGGAGCAGUCGAAAGCUCGCAGGUCGUGGAGAAAGAGGAGAGUCCAAAGGGUUAAGCCGGAGGGGCGAGGUCCAGCCGCAAAGGCGCACUGCGCGCGCGGUCGGGGAGGGUUAGGGUUAGGGCCUCGGGGCCCAGAGCGCCACCUGCCGGUGGUAUGGUCGGCGCUGUGAACCAGCACCCGAAGAGCUUGAGAAGCUGUCGACCCCGGGAACCUCUUCUCCCAGCCAGGCUCCUCGUUUACUGGCUUGGAACGCCACCCACCCGAGGGUCCAGCGCUUUAGCGACCCAGCAUUUCCCCGAGGUUGUUGCUUGUAGAAGUGGGACCCAAGAUGUCACUCACAGCUUGAUGGUGUUAAGAUGGGGACAACUGUUCCACCACUGGUCUCCACACCAGAAACCUUCUAAAUACUGGUAUGUGGCCCUCUCCACUUUUCCAAAUCAGUCUCUUUCCAAGGCCAGGCGAGUAGCUCUCCCAGAACCGCCCAAGCAGCCUCGGGCACCACCCAGAUGGCCGCGGGGCCGUCGCCGGGAACCUCCCCUGAACAGCUGCCCUCUGCCCCUAACCUCCCCCCAGUAAAACUCAAAAGGAAACUGGCCCCUCCGAAGAUCAAAAUUCAGAUUCGUUUAAUUCCAACUGCACACAACUGCGUGAUGUUUUGGUGUUGCUCACAUACGAAGAGUCCUUAAGAAGGCGUAAAAAGAAAAAAAUGAAAAAAGAAAAUUGAAAAAGGUGGUGGUGGGGACCCACAUCACGGGCAGUGGAUGUCAGCCUCGGCAGAACCGGGAUUCAGAAUGAAAUCUUUUCUUUUCUUUUUUAAAUAAACGGAAGAGUCGAUCUCCACUCCUCGCUCGGAAGGUUUCAAAGGUCGUCACACUGAAGCCCGGGGGCGUUCAUCUCCCCAGCGGCCUGGAGAAGGGAGGAGGUUGGAGGGAGGAGGGAGGGAGCACACAAAAGCGAGCCGUGCUGAGAGGGCUAAUGUUUCCUGUUUGCCUGGAACCCCCUCCCCUGUGUCCCCUCCCCCAGCCCCCUCCCAGCACUCGGGCGGAAGUGAGUUUGCUCCUUUGGAGAUUAAAAGGAUUCCGAAUUCCGAUCAGUCCCAAUAACCAGCGUACAGAGUGAGAGAGAGAGAGAGAGAGAAGAAGAAGGAGGAGGAGGAGGAGGAAGAGGCGGCAAAGCAGAGAAAGAGGGGGCGCGCGUGCGCGGGCACGCAGCCCGAAUUGGGGAGUUGUGCAAAGCCCCAGGAGGCCAGGGCGCACGGCGCGAGCAUAGCCUGGUAGGCUCGGCGCGGCGAGGCCACCCGAGUCUUGCUCCGUGACUCAAUGCAGAAAGAAGAUGACGCGGGCGCGAGCCGGCGGCGGU